UGCAGCCUUCGUGAUCUACAAUUUCCUCAGCCUGUGUUAUGAGUACCUGGGAGGAGAGAGUGCUAUAAUGUCGGAGAUUCGAGGCAAGUCCAUCGAGUCCAGCUGUAUGUACGGUACAUGCUGUCUCUGGGGGAAGACGUACUCCAUUGGAUUUCUACGCUUCUGUAAACAGGCCACCCUCCAGUUCUGUGUGGUGAAACCGCUGAUGGCCAUUAUCACCGUCAUCCUCCAGGCUUUUGGCAAGUACAAGGACGGAGACUUCAA